GACGAACGCUGGCGGCGUGCUUAACACAUGCAAGUCGAGCGGAGCGGCGAACGGGUGAGUAACGCGUGAGUAACUGCCCCCCUCUCUGGGAUAACAGUUGGAAACGGCUGCUAAUACCGGCUAGUGGGGGAUGACUCGCGUCCUAUCAGCUUGUUGGUGGGGUAGUGGCCUACCAAGGCGACGACGGGUAGCCGGCCUGAGAGGGCGACCGGCCACAUUGGGCUGAGAUACGGCCCAAACUCCUACGGGAGGCAGCAGUGGGGAAUAUUGCACAAUGGGGGAAACCCUGACGCAGCAACGCCGCGUGCGGGAUGAAGGCCUUCGGGUUGUAAACCGCUUUCAGUAGGGAAGCGGUACCUACACAAGAAGCUCCGGCUAAAUACGUGCCAGCCGCCGCGGUAAUUC
rnacentral:rRNA from 1 species